rnacentral:misc_RNA from 1 species
GAUGAAGAACGUAGCGAAAUGCGAUAAGUAAUGUGAAUUGCAGAAUUCAGUGAAUCAUCGAAUCUUUGAACGCAUCUUGCGCUCUCUGGUAUUCCGGAGAGCACGCCUGUUUGAGUGUCAUGAAACUCUCACCCCUUGCCUUUCUUAAUUGAUCGGUCGAGGGCGUGGACGUGAGCGUUGCCGGUGUUCAUCAUCGGCUCGCUUGAAAUGAAUUAGCUGAAUCUCUAUACUGUGUGGUUCUACUCAACGUGAUAAGUACUCCGUUGAGGACAGUGGGGCUUGCCCUGCUGGCCACGGGAAUGGAUCGAUACGCUUCUAAUCAGCACAGACUUCGGGAGCUGGCAACUAUGACAAUCUGGCCUCAAAUCAGGUGGGACUACCCGCUGAACUUAAGCAUAUCAAUAAGCGGAGGA